CUAGGUGUGUCACAAUCCUUGUUACUUAACUUGCGGUUACAAGCUUGAAAGCUUGUGACUGCGGGUUCUUCAAGGUCAUACAGGUAUCUGUUGUUAGAAUGUCCUUUGCCAUCAAAAUGCUUCCCUGGUGAACAGAGAUGUCUGGUGCUGAUGGGAGGGGAAAUCUUGUGCUCCUGGUGCUUUCAUGGAACAUGGAGCCAGUAAUUACUCUGGAGAGGGAUUGGUAAUCUUUCAAGAAUGAUGAACCAGACCAUAGUUUUCAUUCUCAAAUUAUUGGUUCAGUAUGACAACUGAAAUCCAGCAGGAGCUGCAAUGGGAUGAUCUUCACAGAAACAGCUUCCAAAGACUUUGAAAUUCAGGAAAGCUGGGAGUACCUGCCUCACAUAGACACUGAUUUGGGGGUACCUUGGCUUCCAGGACCCAGACCUGCUCAAAAACCUGUUCAAGCUCUGGUGCCCACUCUAUAAAUAUCCAACACUGGUAUGGAAAGCUUGAAAAGGGAUCUCCAACUGUGGAAGUAGUGAGUGCUCAUUUGGUUGAAGGGGAGAAAACAAAAAAAAGAAAAAAAAAAAAAAAAAAGGAAAUAGAAUGCAUUCAUCAUAUUUCAUCUGGAUGAUUUCAGGAAAAGAGAAGUAAAGAACAUGUUUAUUUGGUUAAAUGUUCUGGAAGAAAAUAUAUACUGCAAUAGCCUUUUGUUGUAUCUGAAUUUAAAUGUUGUCUUGUAGAAGUGUAAUGCCUGAAGAGUGCUUACGUUGUAAAAUAGGUGAUGAAUGAAUAUGGAGCAGUUGGUUUAUGUAGAUUUCUAUGUGGGAGAAAAUAAUUUUAAAUUACAGUUUCACUUGGUUGAAUCACUGGUGUUAGCUGCUUUCACAUACAUCAGAAAGAAUUGGACAGUUCUUUUAUCACUGGAUUUGGGUUGAAGUGGCAAAACCAAAGUAAUGUAAAUUAUUUUCACAUGACUAUCUGGCUUAACUUCAAUGGGCAUUAAAGAGUUACUUUAAGUUCACAGAUUUUCAAGUGGCUAUUCAGUUUUUUAAAAAAUAUCUGUUUGUAAAACUAAUUUCUGGAUGAAAAGAAAGCAGUCUGUGACUGCAUGUUUUGUGAACAAAUCUAAAAAAUUCACUCAUGCAAUUACAAUAAACCGAACAUUAAAUUAACAUUUGUAUACAUUUCCUUACAAGCAGUUCAUAAAAAUUGAAAGGUUUUUGGAAGUUAUUGCAAAAUAUUUGUUUAGAAUUAUUAUUUAUGUAUCUUACUUCACAUCAUUUUAGAACAUUGUGAUGAAACACCAUACCACAGAACAUAACAAACUCUUUUUUUCUCCUCCAGGACUAGGAAUAGGUAGCUGUAGCUAAUAAGACAAAAGCAAUCUUUAAAAAUAAUAUAAAUGAAUAUUGGUACUAACACUGGAAUAUCUUAAAUUGAUUAUUUGUAUAUUAGAAUGGGCAUAAAUGAAGUACGGUAGUACAGUUUCAAGUUUUUAAAGAGUCCAUUGAUUUUUAAUUAACUCCAUUUCAAGGUAUUGAACUUGAGCCACAUUUUAGGAAACCUGACAAUGAAGGCAAGCUAAAUCACUAUACUUUCGUUUAGUCUAUGUAAUUUGCCACAGCAUCUUAGUAUUGCAAUGUGACUUAGGAACGUCUGAGUACCAAUGAUUCAAAAAUGAUCAGGAUAACAAAGAACUAAAGAAUUAGUACUUAAUUUGGUUACGUCCGGUAGUAAUGCAUAUGUUAAAUGGAAAAAGUCAUAUGCAACACUUCAAAAUUUUUGAAACUUGAAAAAUCUUAUGUAUAGACAUCUGUGAACUGCAAAUUCACUAGCUUUUAGAAACAAACAACAACAAAAAAAUAUUUGGGGGGCAAUAUGUUACAGUAACUGUUUAACAUGCUGCAAAAUGAUAUUUUUAUAAAUGAGAAAAAUUGUUUCCAUUGUUCUGUUGUUUGAGACAUUUGACAAUAUUGUACAGUUCACAUGUAUUAUACAAUCUAUCCAUGCAUUUUAAUGCCGUGAAGUGUGGCCAGUUUAACAAUGUUUUAAAGUAUGAGAAAAUAUUUGAAGCCCAGAUCUUUGAUUUGCCUUGAAUAUUAGAGUGCAAAAGAUGAAAGAUAUUUGCAAGCAAUGUUGUUAGGGAAGAAUACUCAAAUUUCCUUCAUACUCUUUGACUGCUUUUAUUAUAGGUUAGCUUUGAAAUGACAGGAAUUCUAUAUACAUGAGGACUACAAGAGUCUUUUUUUUUUUUCAGUAGUACUAUAGCACUCUUGAAACAGUAACUCUGAGGUGAAUGUCUUGUUUACCUAAAGUCUAAAUCUUGCCAACUUUUUAAUUAGAGUCCCUUUCCACAAACAAAAGAUCAAAGGAACAUGUCUUUCAGCAGAAACUCAAAAUUCCAGGUUCAUCCCAUGAGGAGAAAAUAUAUGAAAAAGAACUGGUCCCAUCUCCAGUAUAGUUCUUCAGUCAAUUAUCUGGAGUUUUGCAUCUAUAUAUGUUAUUAAACAGAUGCUUUGAACUCUAGGUCACGAUAUGAGAAGAUUCUAGAUUUUUAUCACUUUAAAUAUGGUGCAAGCAACUGAGCCUGUAGGGAAGACUAGCAGUGCAAGAGAUAAAUAUCUGAAGAAAACUCCAGGCACUAAGCAUAAAAUAAUAACAAUAAUAAUAAGACACUCAGUGGAGAUGGGAAGACUGAGAAAUGUUACUAGAAAUAUUUCUCUAACACUGUUAUCAAAUAUAUUGUAUAUAAUACUUGAGGAUUAUUAUUUAAUGAUACUAAUAAAGCUAUUUACCAUUAAUAUGGCAUUAUACAUCUAAAUUGCGCGUGGUCUGAAUGGAUAACUUUUUUUUAAACUGGUCUGUAAACUAACUGGAGAAAAAUCAUAAUGGCUUUACUGUAGUAGCUUUCAUAGUGUAAGGAGGCCUUCUGGUGGUGACAACAAAGAAUGUUUCUUCCAGUAAUGAGCAUUUCUCUGAAUGCAUAUGAAAACCUACUCAAAUUUACAUGCAUAGAAGCUAAAAUUCACCAGCUGUAUAGAAGGCUACUUUAAAUAUUUAGUCAUGAUUAGUUAGACCCUGAGCUUUUGUUGUAACUGUAUACAUUUUGACCUUCUUAGGUCAAUAUAUGAGGAACAAUGAAUUUGUCAUGAAUAUGUUUUUUCAAAACUUUGUUUAAGUGAGACCAUAUGAUAUGCUGAUAUUGACCAUUAACACUUUGUUUUAUCUGAACAAAUAAAUGUUAAAAGAACAAACAACUCUGCAAAAUAA